ACGAACGCUGGCGGCGUGCUUAACACCUGCAAGUCGAACGGAAAGGCCCUGCUUUUGUGGGGUGCUCGAGUGGCGAACGGGUGAGUAACACGUGAGUAACCUGCCCUUGACUUUGGGAUAACUUCAGGAAACUGGGGCUAAUACCGGAUAGGAGCUCCUGCUGCAUGGUGGGGGUUGGAAAGUUUCGGCGGUUGGGGAUGGACUCGCGGCUUAUCAGCUUGUUGGUGGGGUAGUGGCUUACCAAGGCUUUGACGGGUAGCCGGCCUGAGAGGGUGACCGGCCACAUUGGGACUGAGAUACGGCCCGGACUCCUACGGGAGGCAGCAGUGGGGAAUAUUGCACAAUGGGCGGAAGCCUGAUGCAGCAACGCCGCGUGCGGGAUGACGGCCUUCGGGUUGUAAACCGCUUUCGCCUGUGACGAAGCGUGAGUGACGGUAAUGGGUAAAGAAGCACCGGCUAACUACGUG
rnacentral:rRNA from 1 species